GAUGAGCGCUGGCGGCGUGCCUAAUACAUGCAAGUCGAGCGGUAAGGUCCCUUCGGGGAUACACGAGCGGCGGACGGCUGAGUAACACGUAGGAACGUACCCCAAAGUGAGGGAUAACUGCUCGAAAGAGUAGCUAAUACCGCAUGUGAUCCACGGAUUAAAGCUUUAUGCGCUUUGGGAACGGCCUGCGUCCGAUUAGCUUGUUGGUGAGGUAAUAGCUCACCAAGGCGAUGAUCGGUAGCUGGUCUGAGAGGAUGAUCAGCCAGACUGGGACUGAGACACGGCCCAGACUCCUACGGGAGGCAGCAGUAGGGAAUUUUCCACAAUGGGCGAAAGCCUGAUGGAGCAACGCCGCGUGCGGGAUGAAUGCCUUCGGGUUGUAAACUGCUUUUAAUAGUGACGAUUAUGACGGUAACUAUUGAAUAAGGACCUGCUAACUACGUGCCAGCAGCCGCGGUAA
rnacentral:rRNA from 1 species